AACGCGAAGAACCUUACCCAGGCUUGACAUGCACAGGACAGUCUCAGAGAUGAGAUCUCCCUUCGGGGCCUGUGCACAGGUGCUGCAUGGCUGUCGUCAGCUCGUGCCGUGAGGUGUUUGGUUAAGUCCAGCAACGAGCGCAACCCUUGUCAUUAGUUGCCAACACGUAAUGGUGGGAACUCUAAUGAGACUGCCUAGGUUAACUAGGAGGAAGGUGAGGAUGACGUCAAGUCCGCAUGGCCCUUAUGUCUGGGGCUACACACGUGCUACAAUGGUCGGUACAGAGGGCAGCGAAACCGCGAGGUCAAGCAAAUCCCAAAAAGCCGGCCCCAGUUCAGAUUGUAGUCUGCAACUCGACUACAUGAAGUCGGAAUUGCUAGUAAUGGCGUGUCAGCCACAACGCCGUGAAUACGUUCCCGGGCCUUGUACACACCGCUACAGU
rnacentral:rRNA from 1 species